GGAAUCAUUUCACGUGCGAUGGGGCCCAAUACGUACCCGACGGAGAAGAUAAGAUUCUUUUUCAUUUUGAAGUCCGGAGUUUGAAGUCCAGAAGUGUGUAUAUAAGAAGACAUUAUCAGAAGAGGAAAAGCAGAAGGCGAAAAAAGCCGAAGGAAUCCACAACCAUCAACAUUCUAAAAUCCCCCAAAAAGCCAAAUCUUUUUCCUCUUUAAAAUUAUAAAGUUUGGAUAUAAAAAAGUUUUCAAUUCUUGAUUUCAAAGUUUGUGUAAAGUUAUUUUGGAAGCUUUUCAGGUUUUUCGAAAGGGAAACUUCACUCUGUUCUAAAUAAUCUAUAUUGGAACUCAAAUACAACUUACAGAAAUCCAGAAUAUUUUCGAGAGCCUCUAAAUUUUGAUCCAUCAAGAUUUGAAGGAUCAGGACCAGCCCCAUACACAUUUGUGCCAUUUGGAGGAGGUCCUAGGAUGUGUCCUGGAAAAGAGUAUGCAAGAUUAGAAAUACUUGUAUUCAUGCACCAUCUUCUCAAAAGGUUCAAGUGGAACAAACUUAUUCAUGAUGAGAAUAUUAUUAUUGAUCCAAUGCCUGUUCCUGCCAAGGGUCUUCCAAUUAAACUCUACCCUUAUCAACUUCAUUAAUAAUUAUGACCUAGUCAUUGUGUGAUAUUAUUGAUGGUUACACAUUGGAUGUUGCUUCAAUUUAAUGUCAUUUUCCCGCUUUGUGUUAUUAUUAUUUUUUCAAUAGCAGCCUAAGUUUUGUGUGAUACUGAUAGCCCCUUAUUUGUUUUGUGUGUUGAAAGUCUUUACCGACAUUAGUUAAGUGUUAUUAGAUCCAAUGUCGCUAAAGUUUUUAGUGACACAUACAAAAAGUGUUAAUUGCCACUAAAAAUACAUGUUUAGCAUCACAAUUUCACCCAUGAUGAAGUGAAAACCAUCGACAACUGCUCUUUUUGUGUAUGUACAUUAGUAUUUUUUAUGAAUUCUCCUAUAACAUUU